CGUAACGACGGAAAAAAGGAUCCGUCGGUAACAGCGACGGACAUAUCCGUCGUAAUUUCCGUCGGUGGGCCCUAUUUAAUAGAUAGACGCGGGAUGAGAGAAAUUCAUUCUAAUUUUCCCAAAAUCUCUCUUUCCCUCAAAAGCGACCCCGCCCCAAAAUCUCUCUUUCCCACUGCAAAUCGGACCCGGCGCCGCUGCUGCAGAAGGCCGUCAAUCGGAACCCGCCGUCGAUCGGACCCCGCCGCCACUGGAGAACGCCGUCGAUUGGACGCCGCCGCUGCUGGAAAACGCCGCUGCUGGAGAAAGCCGAACGCCGCGGCCGCUGCCGCAAAACGUCGAACGCCGCCGCCGUCGCUGGAGAAGGUCCCUCCCACCACCGCCGCUGGACGUCUGGUCACGUGAAGCUGCUCCGGCACCGCCGCACCGCGCUCGGCCACUGUUCAGGUGAGUAUCUGCCUGCCAGAAUCUGCAAAUCAAGUUUUUAUGGGACAAAAUUGGAUUUAGGCGGAAAUCAAUUUUGAUUCUUGUUAGGGAGGUGCAACUCGUGUAGAUAUUGCCUGUGAGACUUGCAACGCGCUUGACUGCCCUUCCGGUGUGUGUUUCUUCUGUUGAUCCAUCAGCAUUUCCUGCCGCUGUUGAAGCAGGAGCCUUAAUGGUUGAGAUUGUUAGGGUGAUUCUUAAUUUGUGAGGAAGAAAGGAAGAAGUCAACGAGAAUAAGAAAAAACAAAAAUGAGUGAAAAUCGUGAGUGGAUGUAUCGACGUUUUCUACCUGAUGGAGCUUUGAAUCCCGAUUUUCAAAGAGGUCUUCAAGGUUUCAUUGACUACGCUAGCAGUAGACGAGAUUUAAUGGAUGGGGAAAAAAUUAGGUGUCCGUGUAGGAAAUGUGAUAAUAUACGUUUCCAUACUAAAAACAAUGUCCAGUAUCACAUAGCAAAGAACGGUUCCUACUGCGGCAUCAGAGGCUCCCACCACUGGACGUACUACACUCGUCAUACGACAUGGGUAUAAUUUUUAUUGUUACACAAUCUUAUGAAUUAUUAAAUGUUAGUUUUAUUACUAAUGACUUUGAAUGUUAAUUGUAGCCAAUUACAUCCCUUGGGGAUGGUUCCAGGCACAGUCACUAAGAUUUUCAAGCAAGUUAAAAAUCCAGAAGGUUUCAAUUGGAAACUCACUCCACCUGCAAUCAAGACAUCGUACUUUGAGGAAUUUAAGAAACAUUUCACAUGGGAUCCGGCGAUAGAGGCAGAUGUCUAUAAGCUUUGGUUAGAGGUUGCUGCACGGAGGUAUAAGGAUUUUGUUUUCGACAUCAAGAAAAAGAAGAACAAGAGGCCUUCUUUUAUUCACGCGGAUGACUGGCCUAAUUGGCUUAAGUACUGGGACUCUGAUGAAUUCAAAGCCAAAUCAGAGAUAGCAAAAAAGUGUAGGAUGUCUGAGCCUUUAGGGCCUUCUUUGAUUAUGUUGUGUUUCUGUACUUUGAAUACUUGACUAUUUCUAUUAUGUUUCUUAACACUUGAAUAUUUUGUUAUGUUAUGACUAUAUGUGAAUGAUAUUUUAGUAUUUUAAUAUUUGAUUGAUUUUGUGUUUU